rnacentral:lncRNA from 1 species
AUUAAGUGUCCAGAUUUUUUACAGUAUCUACAGAAUAAAGGUCCUCUGGCUUGAUCAAAAUUUACUCUUUGUCUGAAAGGAGAAGAAGGAUUAGGCACUGUGGCCUUGUUAAAUCCAACAGGAUGCUUAUUAGUAUGGACAUUGAAAGAGAUAGAGUCUGGAUUAAAGUGAGAAGGAGACUGGACUUGUCUUUGCUUCUCAUCAUUGAGG